AUUAUUUAAAUAUAAUUAACCAUUAUACCAAACCAAGGACUCGUGCAGUAUUUUCAUUUCGCUUUACUGCCGUCACGCUAAAAUAUCAUUCCUUUUUUUCCUAUGGAUUUCUUUCUUCUCUUCUUAAAACUUCUUUAACCCAGUGCCAAUGUUCUUGUACACACAUAUAUUUUGCAGCCACAGCAAAUAAACUCCACUUACCAUCAUGCCUUGCGCGCUGACGUCAGCCGCGGAGCAGCAUGUGCUGCGCUGCUGCGCUGCGGCUCUCCAACUAUGGCUCAGUGCGGCUCCGGCUGUGCGCGGCGGCGCAGCGCGUCGAGCUCCGCGGCUUCAGGUCACAGCUUCAUCAUUGCGCCGGACCACAAGGACGAAAGCGGCUACUUUGCUGCUCAUCGGAACUAAUCCCACCGAUCUAUCGCCUUGAUUGGACAGGAUUUACUCCAGGAUUCUUUUGGAGACUUUAACGCGAUUAAACGCUAUUUUCUUUUACAGCCGUGGCACCACUGGAGGAGUUCAUGUUGUUACAAACGUCGGGUGAAACUUUGUGAUGGAUUCAACGCGCCGGGCUGUGCAUCGACCUGUGGGAUAUGAGGAAAUACUGUCUCCGACACGGGAUGAACAGUGUCCAUUUGUCCCUCUGCGCUACAAGCAGCUGGUCGGACAGGAGCGUCUCUUGCGAUGCGCGCGGCCAGUGUCACAAAUAAUCCACACCAUGAUGCGGUUUUUGGAGAUCGAUAUUCGUUGAGCUGGAUUUUGGCAACUGGGGAAAAAGGAAUAUUCCGGAAUAUAAUUUGAAAGUGCUCAACAGAUGACCAGCAGUUCGGGCGGUGACUUGGCGCAUCCCUUCAUCCAGCAGUGAAGGAAUCCCAUUUCAUGGAAUGAGAGGCCAAUCUUUAAUUGCUUUCCAGGGAAUUUCUGGAUCAUACUUAAUCCUGGUUUGGACUGUGGACAUAGCAUCGCCUGCAGCAGAUGUUUGCUCCUGGCAUGGCUGCAAACUGCAUGAGCUCCAUCACCGACAAUCCAGUUCUCGGGAUGCAUCGCCAGCAGCUUGGACACGGAGAAGCUGUGACACAAACUCAGCAGGACAGUGGAGUGUAUUCUGCUGCUCGGAUAUUAUGGAACAGACCGGUCAACCUCGUCUGGAGAGGCACUCGAUAGGAAAAUCAGCUCUAUGAGGCUACGAUUACCGCGGUUACCACAAUGGAUCUACACAUUGUUUGACUUUUUCUAAAUUGAACCUGGAUUAAUAUUUCCCUGUAUAUACAUCUGCUUUUGAUAUUCAGUGUUUAUUCCCGCUGUUGCUCAUUCCCUGCACUUAUAUACUGUGUUAUUCUGGAUACAGUAUCAACAAAUGCUGGAACAGUAAACGGAAAAUAAUCAGCUGUUAUUUCCUCUUUAGGUCUAUUAUUUUUACAGGAGGAAGGCAGCACUUACACCAAUCUCGUAAGGAGCAAACUAAAUGUUUUCCUGUUGAAUUAAUUAACACACAUAGGAAUUGUCACAGGGAUUACUCAAUUAAUAAACAUUCAACAUCUUCCAAUUAAGAAAAGAUAAUCCUUUAUUAGUCCAGCAGCAGGGAAAUUACAACAAUUGCCUUCACAAUGAAGCCAUUGAACCAAAGGUGCUUAUGAAUACAACUAUUGACAACUCUUUGGGAGUCUUGUUCAUUCUGGUUGAGGAAUCUUUUCCAACUCUUUGAUCUGAUAAAGACGUAUUGCUUCAUCGGACUUGUCUGUGUAACCCUCGAACAGAAAUAAAAAAGAAAAGGUGUAAUCAAGCUGCUGUCCGUUUAUUAUGUCAUUGCAGCUGCAGAGAGAUUAAUAGCCAAAAACUGCUUUCACUGUGUUCGUUGUGUGUGUGUGUGUGUGUGUUGUUGUUAACCGUACUGGUUUCAAUCACCAGUUGGCCCAGUGUCUGAUGCAGGAGCUCUAUCGGGGGUUGCUUCGCUCUUCUCUUUUUUUUUUCUCUCCUGCUCAAGCAAAAAGCGCGUGAUUUAAAG
ensembl:lncRNA